rnacentral:sRNA from 1 species
AUAACUCUUUAUAAAAUUAAACCUCAUUCAGUUUUUGAGGCUUGUUCAGUAAACAGCUCAAAAUAAAAAUUUUGUGUGAAUAUUUGUAAAUAUUUUGGGAAUGUUGAAUCCUUUUUUGUAAUAAAAUAACAAUACGUCGACCGCUGUGAAUUCUGGAGGCUUAAUAUCCGACUAUAUAGUUUCCUGGAAGUUAAUCAGCGGUCGUAAUUGCACGACAUCUUAGUAGCUGUUUCUGUGAAGAAGCUUAAGUCAAUCCCCAUCAAAAUGUGCUGCGGACCUUGCGGAGGCUGUUGUGGACCCUGCGGUCCUUGCUGUGGGCCCUGCGGUGGCUGCUGCGGUCCCUGCGGACCCUGCUGUGGACCCUGCGGCGGCUGCUGUGGGCCAUGCUACUCUUGCUGUGGCCCCUGUGGCGGCUGCUGUGGUGGCUGCGGUCCCUGCUGCUAAAAGAUAGCCAUCUUCAGAACGAAAUCAAGAUACUAGAGUGCAUUUAAUACUAGAAAGCAGCAGCAGACCUAAUUGUAAAUGUUUGUACUACAUAAAUGUAAAAUAAAUAAACCAAGUCUGAAAA